AAACAAUGGCAGUCGUAAUAAACUGAAUGCUGCAAACAGAAUUAUCUCAUAUUCCUUGUCUUAUGUACAGACGAAUCCUGUUGACAACUUGGCGACUGAGAUAGAGGCGUUAACCCGGAUCGUCAACCAGGACGAAAUGAUGGAUGAAAGUACAACGCGUCAACUUGGUGUUGCCUCGGACAGCGCGGAGAUCCCAAAAACUCCGAAUCCUACCCCGAACGAGAAUAAGAAGAGAAAAAAAAAUUGGCGAUGGUGGGAUAAAAAAAAGUCCAAGAAACAAAAAGAAAAAAAGUCCGCACCUGCGUCGGAUACUGCGCA
rnacentral:lncRNA from 1 species